GUGAGAAUGGCUCUCGACACAACUGAGACAACUACGGUUAACAAGAAACCAGGAUCUUUAUUAGAGAGAGAGAGAGUGAUUACAAUUCUGGAGAAACGUUAUCUCCAUAUAGAGGAUAAGUACCUGUUAAAAUACAAUAGAUGUUUCGACGGACGGCAGCUCGACGUCUUCUACUAUUUUGGUUCACACAAACAGUCUUUAGUCCGUAAUAAGGCGGCACAGUCUUUAUUCUAUAUAUAUACAGUAUAUAUGUAUUGUUGAUUGGAGCACUAGAGCACUAAAUAAUCCUUCCAAAUGCAAUAUAGUUGUAGAAUUUGUCGCCCGGUGCAG
rnacentral:lncRNA from 1 species